GUGGGGAAUAUUGGACAAUGGGCGCAAGCCUGAUCCAGCCAUGCCGCGUGGGUGAAGAAGGCCUUCGGGUUGUAAAGCCCUUUUGUCCGGGAAGAAAUCGUCUGGGCUAAUACCCCGGGCGGAUGACGGUACCGGAAGAAUAAGCACCGGCUAACUUCGUGCCAGCAGCCGCGGUAAUACGAAGGGUGCAAGCGUUACUCGGAAUUACUGGGCGUAAAGCGUGCGUAGGCGGUUCGUUAAGUCCGAUGUGAAAGCCCUGGGCUCAACCUGGGAACUGCAUUGGAAACUGGCGGGCUGGAGUGCGGUAGAGGGUGGCGGAAUUCCCGGUGUAGCAGUGAAAUGCGUAGAUAUCGGGAGGAACACCCGUGGCGAAGGCGGCCACCUGGACCAGCACUGACGCUGAGGCACGAAAGCGUGGGGAGCAAACAGGAUUAGAAACCCUAGUAGUCC
rnacentral:rRNA from 1 species